rnacentral:rRNA from 1 species
AUUGAACGCUGGCGGCAGGCCUAACACAUGCAAGUCGAACGAGUGGCGGACGGGUGAGUAAUGUCUGGGUAACUGCCCGAUGGAGGGGGAUAAAUACUGGAAACGGUAGCUAAUACCGCAUAUCAUCGGAUGUGCAGAGAUGGGAUUAGCUUGUGGGUGAGGUAACGGCUCACCUAGGCGACGAUCCCUAGCUGGUCUGCGAGGAUGACCAGCCACACUGGAACGGGGACACGGUCCAGACUCUUACGGAAGGCGGCAGUGGGGAAUAUUGCACAAUGGGCGCAGGCCUGAUACGGCCAUGCCGGGUGUAUGAAGAGGGCCUUCGGGUUGUAAAGUACGUUCAGCGAGGAGGCGUUACCCGCAGAAGAAGCACCGGCUAACUCCGUGCCAGCAGCCGCGGUAAUUC